rnacentral:rRNA from 1 species
GACGAACGCUGGCGGCGUGCUUAACACAUGCAAGUCGAACGCUGAAGCUCAGCUUUUGUUGGGUGGAUGAGUGGCGAACGGGUGAGUAACACGUGAGUAACCUGCCUCCUUCUUUGGGAUAACGCCCGGAAACGGGCGCUAAUACUGGAUAUUCACUGGUCUUCGCAUGGGGGUUGGUGGAAAGGGUUUUUCUGGUGGGUGAUGGGCUCGCGGCCUAUCAGCUUGUUGGUGGGGUGAUGGCCUACCAAGGCUUUGACGGGUAGCCGGCCUGAGAGGGUGACCGGUCACAUUGGGACUGAGAUACGGCCCAGACUCCUACGGGAGGCAGCAGUGGGGAAUAUUGCACAAUGGGCGCAAGCCUGAUGCAGCGACGCCGCGUGAGGGAUGGAGGCCUUCGGGUUGUGAACCUCUUUCGCUCAUGGUCAAGCCGCAACAAUGGUUGUGGUGAGGGUAGUGGGUAAAGAAGCGCCGGCUAACUACGUG